rnacentral:rRNA from 1 species
GGUUAAGCGACUAAGCGUACACGGUGGAUGCCCUGGCAGUCAGAGGCGAUGAAGGACGUGCUAAUCUGCGAAAAGCGUCGGUAAGGUGAUAUGAACCGUUAUAACCGGCGAUGUCCGAAUGGGGAAACCCAGUGCAAUUCGUUGCACUAUCGUUAACUGAAUACAUAGGUUAACGAGGCGAACCGGGGGAACUGAAACAUCUAAGUACCCCGAGGAAAAGAAAUCAACCGAGAUUCCCCCAGUAGCGGCGAGCGAACGGGGAGCAGCCCAGAGUCUGAAUCAGCUUGUGUGUUAGUGGAACGGUCUGGAAAGUCCGACGGUACAGGGUGAUAGUCCCGUACACCAAAAUGCACAGGCUGUGAACUCGAAGAGUAGGGCGGGACACGUGGUAUCCUGUCUGAAUAUGGGGGGACCAUCCUCCAAGGCUAAAUACUCCUGACUGACCGAUAGUGAACCAGUACCGUGAGGGAAAGGCGAAAAGAACCCCGGCGAGGGGAGUGAAAAAGAACCUGAAACCGUGUACGUACAAGCAGUGGGAGCACCUUCGGGUGUGACUGCGUACCUUUUGUAUAAUGGGUCAGCGACUUAUAUUCUGUAGCAAGGUUAACCGUAUAGGGGAGCCGCAGGGAAACCGAGUCUUAACUGGGCGUUAAGUUGCAGGGUAUAGACCCGAAACCCGGUGAUCUAGCCAUGGGCAGGUUGAAGGUUGGGUAACACUAACUGGAGGACCGAACCGACUAAUGUUGAAAAAUUAGCGGAUGACUUGUGGCUGGGGGUGAAAGGCCAAUCAAACCGGGAGAUAGCUGGUUCUCCCCGAAAGCUAUUUAGGUAGCGCCUCGUGAACUCAUCUUCGGGGGUAGAGCACUGUUUCGGCUAGGGGGUCAUCCCGACUUACCAACCCGAUGCAAACUACGAAUACCGAAGAAUGUUAUCACGGGAGACACACGGCGGGUGCUAACGUCCGUCGUGAAGAGGGAAACAACCCAGACCGCCAGCUAAGGUCCCAAAGUCAUGGUUAAGUGGGAAACGAUGUGGGAAGGCACAGACAGCCAGGAUGUUGGCUUAGAAGCAGCCAUCAUUUAAAGAAAGCGUAAUAGCUCACUGGUCGAGUCGGCCUGCGCGGAAGAUGUAACGGGGCUAAACCAUGCACCGAAGCUGCGGCAGCGACACUAUGUGUUGUUGGGUAGGGGAGCGUUCUGUAAGCCUGCGAAGGUGUGCUGUGAGGCAUGCUGGAGGUAUCAGAAGUGCGAAUGCUGACAUAAGUAACGAUAAAGCGGGUGAAAAGCCCGCUCGCCGGAAGACCAAGGGUUCCUGUCCAACGUUAAUCGGGGCAGGGUGAGUCGACCCCUAAGGCGAGGCCGAAAGGCGUAGUCGAUGGGAAACAGGUUAAUAUUCCUGUACUUGGUGUUACUGCGAAGGGGGGACGGAGAAGGCUAUGUUAGCCGGGCGACGGUUGUCCCGGUUUAAGCAUGUAGGCUGGUUAUCCAGGCAAAUCCGGAUAAUCAAGGCUGAGGUGUGAUGACGAGGCACUACGGUGCUGAAGUAACAAAUGCCCUGCUUCCAGGAAAAGCCUCUAAGCAUCAGGUAACAUCAAAUCGUACCCCAAACCGACACAGGUGGUCAGGUAGAGAAUACCAAGGCGCUUGAGAGAACUCGGGUGAAGGAACUAGGCAAAAUGGUGCCGUAACUUCGGGAGAAGGCACGCUGGUGUGUAGGUGAAGUCCCUGCGGAUGGAGCUGAGACCAGUCGAAGAUACCAGCUGGCUGCAACUGUUUAUUAAAAACACAGCACUGUGCAAACACGAAAGUGGACGUAUACGGUGUGACGCCUGCCCGGUGCCGGAAGGUUAAUUGAUGGGGUUAUCCGUAAGGAGAAGCUCUUGAUCGAAGCCCCGGUAAACGGCGGCCGUAACUAUAACGGUCCUAAGGUAGCGAAAUUCCUUGUCGGGUAAGUUCCGACCUGCACGAAUGGCGUAAUGAUGGCCAGGCUGUCUCCACCCGAGACUCAGUGAAAUUGAACUCGCUGUGAAGAUGCAGUGUACCCGCGGCAAGACGGAAAGACCCCGUGAACCUUUACUAUAGCUUGACACUGAACAUUGAGCCUUGAUGUGUAGGAUAGGUGGGAGGCUUUGAAGCGUGGACGCCAGUCUGCGUGGAGCCAACCUUGAAAUACCACCCUUUAAUGUUUGAUGUUCUAACGUUGGCCCCUGACCGGGGUUGCGGACAGUGUCUGGUGGGUAGUUUGACUGGGGCGGUCUCCUCCCAAAGCGUAACGGAGGAGCACGAAGGUUAGCUAAUCCUGGUCGGACAUCAGGAGGUUAGUGCAAUGGCAUAAGCUAGCUUGACUGCGAGCGUGACGGCGCGAGCAGGUGCGAAAGCAGGUCAUAGUGAUCCGGUGGUUCUGAAUGGAAGGGCCAUCGCUCAACGGAUAAAAGGUACUCCGGGGAUAACAGGCUGAUACCGCCCAAGAGUUCAUAUCGACGGCGGUGUUUGGCACCUCGAUGUCGGCUCAUCACAUCCUGGGGCUGAAGUAGGUCCCAAGGGUAUGGCUGUUCGCCAUUUAAAGUGGUACGCGAGCUGGGUUUAGAACGUCGUGAGACAGUUCGGUCCCUAUCUGCCGUGGGCGCUGGAGAAUUGAGGGGGGCUGCUCCUAGUACGAGAGGACCGGAGUGGACGCAUCACUGGUGUUCGGGUUGUCAUGCCAAUGGCACUGCCCGGUAGCUAAAUGCGGAAGAGAUAAGUGCUGAAAGCAUCUAAGCACGAAACUUGCCCCGAGAUGAGUUCUCCCUGAGACUAUAAGUCUCCUGAAGGAACGUUGAAGACGACGACGUUGAUAGGCCGGGUGUGUAAGCGCAGCGAUGCGUUGAGCUAACCGGUACUAAUGAACCGUGAGGCUUAACCUUACAACGCCGAAGAUGUUUUG